AUGAACGCUAGCGACAGGCCUAACACAUGCAAGUCAGGGGCAGCACAAGGAGCAAUCUGAGGUGGCGACCGGCGCACGGGUGAGUAACACGUAUGCAACCUGCCUGUAAGAGGGGAAUAACCCGUUGAAAGACGGACUAAUACCGCAUAAUACUAAAUUACUGCAUGGUAAUUUAUUUAAACAUUUAUGGCUUACAGAUGGGCAUGCGCAUGAUUAGCUAGUUGGAGAGGUAACGGCUCCCCAAGGCAACGAUCAUUAGGGGUUCUGAGAGGAAGGUCCCCCACACUGGUACUGAGACACGGACCAGACUCCUACGGGAGGCAGCAGUGAGGAAUAUUGGUCAAUGGACGAGAGUCUGAACCAGCCAAGUCGCGUGCAGGAAGAAUGUCCUAUGGAUUGUAAACUGCUUUUGCAGGGGAAUAAAGUGCAUCACGUGUGAUGUUUUGUAUGUACUCUGCGAAUAAGGAUCGGCUAACUCCGUGCCAGCAGCAGC
rnacentral:rRNA from 1 species